AGGGCGCACGGUGGAUGCCUUGGCACUAGGAGCCGAAGAAGGACGUGACAAACGACGAUAUGCCUUGGGUAGCUGUAAGUAAGCGAUGAUCCAGGGAUUUCCGAAUGGGGGAACCCAACAGGUACUACCUGUUACCCGCAUCUGUUAAGGAUGUGAGGAGGAAGACGCAGUGAACUGAAACAUCUAAGUAGCUGCAGGAAGAGAAAGCAAAAGCGAUUGCCUUAGUAGCGGCGAGCGAAACGGCAGGAGGGCAAACCGAAGAGUUUACUCUUCGGGGUUGUAGGACUGCAAUGUGGACUCAAAGAUUAUAGAAGAAUGAUUUGGGAAGAUCAGCCAAAGAGAGUAAUAGCCUCGUAUUUAAAAUAGUCUUUGUACCUAGCAGUAUCCUGAGUACGGCGGGACACGUGAAAUCCCGUCGGAAUCUGGGAGGACCAUCUCCCAACCCUAAAUACUCCCUAGUGACCGAUAGUGAACCAGUACCGUGAGGGAAAGGUGAAAAGCACCCCGGGAGGGGAGUGAAAGAGAACCUGAAACCGUGUGCCUACAACAAGUUCGAGCCCGUUAAUGGGUGAGAGCGUGCCUUUUGUAGAAUGAACCGGCGAGUUACGAUAUGAUGCGAGGUUAAGUUGAAGAGACGGAGCCGCAGGGAAACCGAGUCUGAAUAGGGCGAAUUAGUAUCAUGUCGUAGACCCGAAACCAUGUGACCUACCCAUGAGCAGGUUGAAGGUGCGGUAAGACGCACUGGAGGACCGAACCAGGGCACGUUGAAAAGUGCUUGGAUGACUUGUGGGUAGCGGAGAAAUUCCAAACGAACUUGGAGAUAGCUGGUUCUCUCCGAAAUAGCUUUAGGGCUAGCGUCGACAUAAAGAUUCUUGGAGGUAGAGCACUGUUUGGGUGAGGGGUCCAUCCCGGAUUACCAAUCUCAGAUAAACUCCGAAUGCCAAUGAAUUAUGGUCGGCAGUCAGACUGCGAGUGCUAAGAUCCGUAGUCGAAAGGGAAACAGCCCAGACCACCAGCUAAGGUCCCAAAAUAAUUGUUAAGUGGAAAAGGAUGUGGGGUUGCACAGACAACUAGGAUGUUAGCUUAGAAGCAGCUAUUCAUUCAAAGAGUGCGUAAUAGCUCACUAGUCGAGUGACCCUGCGCCGAAAAUGUACCGGGGCUAAAACAAUUUACCGAAGCUGUGGAUACCUUUAUAGGUAUGGUAGGAGAGCGUUCUAUGUGUGAUGAAGGUGUACCGUGAGGAGUGCUGGAACGCAUAGAAGUGAGAAUGCCGGUAUGAGUAGCGAAAGACAGGUGAGAAUCCUGUCCACCGUAAGACUAAGGUUUCCAGGGGAAGGCUCGUCCGCCCUGGGUUAGUCGGGACCUAAGGAGAGACCGAAAGGUGUAUCCGAUGGACAACAGGUUGAUAUUCCUGUACUAGAGUAUGUAGUGAUGGAGGGACGCAGUAGGCUAACUAAAGCAGACGAAUGGAAGAGUCUGUCUAAGCAGUGAGGUGUGAAUUGAGUCAAAUGCUUAGUUCUAUAACAUUGAGCUGUGAUGGGGAGCGAAGUUUAGUAGCGAAGUUAGUGACGUCACACUGCCAAGAAAAGCUUCUAGCGUUUAAACAUACUCUACCCGUACCGCAAACCGACACAGGUAGUCGAGGCGAGUAGCCUCAGGUGAGCGAGAGAACUCUCGUUAAGGAACUCGGCAAAAUGACCCCGUAACUUCGGGAGAAGGGGUGCUGACUUUACGUCAGCCGCAGUGAAUAGGCCCAAGCAACUGUUUAUCAAAAACACAGCUCUCUGCUAAAUCGUAAGAUGAUGUAUAGGGGGUGACGCCUGCCCGGUGCUGGAAGGUUAAGAGGAGUGCUUAGCGUAAGCGAAGGUAUGAAUUGAAGCCCCAGUAAACGGCGGCCGUAACUAUAACGGUCCUAAGGUAGCGAAAUUCCUUGUCGGGUAAGUUCCGACCCGCACGAAAGGCGUAAUGAUUUGGGCACUGUCUCAACGAGAGACUCGGUGAAAUUUUAGUACCUGUGAAGAUGCAGGUUACCCGCGACAGGACGGAAAGACCCCAUGGAG
rnacentral:rRNA from 1 species